AUGGACCACGCGUCCACUGCGGUUCUGAGCGCGCCGUCCGCGCCCACCUGNACUCGCGACGUUUUGUUAGCC
rnacentral:sRNA from 1 species